rnacentral:rRNA from 1 species
AAGGGCACCACAAGAACGCGUGGAGCAUGUGGCUUAAUUUGACUCAACGCGGGAAAACUUACCGGGUCCGGACACACUGAGGAUUGACAGGCGACCAAUAUGUAAAUAUGCUAGUCCUUUCAUGAUUGUGUGAUAGGUGGUGCAUGGCCGUUCUUAGUUCGUGGAGUGAUCUGUCUGCUUAAUUGCGUUUCAGAUAAAAAGAUAAAAAAGAUAUAGGUUAAGUUACACUUUACAGUGUUUCCUUUAGCUGAGUCUACUAUCUUUGAAAGCAACGAACGUGACCGCAACCCUUUGUUGUGUACACACGUGUACAUUCAAACUAAGGGGACCGCCAGGGUUGUAAAACCGGAGGAAGGUUGCGGCAAUAACAGGUCUGUGAUGCCCUUAGAUGUUCCGGGCUGCACACGUGCUACAAUGAUUGUUGCAGAAAGCAUCUAUAUUUGAUUUUGUCAUUCGCAUUUUAUUAUGUGAUAGACCAUGUAUGGAGCAUUUGCUAUUACACUUUGUGUUUUGGCUUUUGUUUAUUCCAACAUGAAACCUACCUCGAAAGUUCGGUAGGCAAUCAAUUCCAAGUGACAAUCUCCCCGCGCACAAAUCAAAUGUUACUAUUGAACUUUUAGUUUACUAAUUGUUUAUAGUUGACAUGUGCUCUAUUAAUUCGUGGUCGGGACAGACCAUUGCUAAUUGUUGGUCUCGGUCUCAACUAGGAAUGCCUUGUACGGGUCUUUGGUUCAACAAACCACCCGGAAUACGUCCCUGCCCUUUGUACACACCGCCCGUCGCUCUUACCGAUGGACUUCUCUGUGAGUUUGAGGGACUGGUCUUCACCUUUUUAAGGUGUAAUACUAUGGAAACUCAAACGAACAGUGUGGUCUAAGGGAAAGAGAAGUCG